UGUGUAGGCGGCUUUUUAAGUUUGGUGUGAAAUCUCCCGGCUCAACUGGGAGGGUGCGCCGAAUACUGAAAGGCUUCGAGUGCGGGAGAGGAGAGUGGAAUUCCUGGUGUAGCGGUGAAAUGCGUAGAUAUCAGGAGGAACACCGGUGGUGUAGAUGGCUCUCUGGACCGCAACUGACGCUGAGACACGAAAGCGUGGGUAGCAAACAGGAUUAGAUACCCUGGUAGUCCACGCCCUAAACGAUGCAUAUUUGGUGUGGGUCAUUCAGUUGAUCCGUGCCGGAGCUAACGCGUUAAAUAUGCCGCCUGGGGAGUACAGUCGCAAGGCUAGAA
rnacentral:rRNA from 1 species